CUAAGUUUGAUGGCGACCGGCGCACGGGUGAGUAACACGUAUCCAACCUGCCGAUGACUCGGGGAUAGCCUUUCGAAAGAAAGAUUAAUACCCGAUGGCAUAGUUCUUCCGCAUGGUGGAACUAUUAAAGAAUUUCGGUCAUCGAUGGGGACGCGUUCCAUUAGGUUGUUGGCGGGGUAACGGCCCACCAAGCCUUCGAUGGAUAGGGGUUCUGAGAGGAAGGUCCCCCACAUUGGAACUGAGACACGGUCCAAACUCCUACGGGAGGCAGCAUG
rnacentral:rRNA from 1 species